rnacentral:rRNA from 1 species
CGGAUUGCAGUCUGCAACUCGACUGCAUGAAGCUGGAAUCGCUAGUAAUCGCGAAUCAGAAUGUCGCGGUGAAUACGUUCCCGGGCCUUGUACACACCGCCCGUCACACCAUGGGAGUUGGAAGCACCCGAAGUCGGUGACCUGACCGAAAGGGAGGAGCCGCCGAAGGUGAAGCCAGCGACUGGGGUGAAGUCGUAACAAGGUAAC